AUGUUGGCAAACGCAUUUCCUGUUCUUUUGUCCUAUUGUCCUGACCCUGAGAUCUCAAUCUUUGAGCUCUCUUCCAAUAAUUGGGAUCUGCAACUCCGUCGCUCUCUCUCUCUCUCUCCUAAAGAGUUGGUCGAUUGGCAGCGCCUUGUUGCCUUCUUCCCUGUGCUCUCGGAGGAAGAGGACUCGGUGGUGUGGCCUCAUUCUCCGUCUAGUCGUUUUUCGGUGAAAUCGUUGUAUGGUAAACUUACUACGGGUUCAACCACUUCCAAAUUCAAGUGGAUCUGGAGGGCCCAUAUCCCUCCUAAGAUCAAGAUCUUCCUCUGGCAAGCUUCUCGCGGGCGGCUACCGACUGGUGACCAGAUCUGCAAAUGUAAUUGGCCUGGGUCUGAUCGCUGCGCCAUUUGUGGGCUGAGAGAAGACACUAUGCAUGUUUUCUUCUCUUGUGUUCUGGCAAAAUUCUUCUGGUGCUGCAUCAGAUCUUGGUUGCAUGUCGCCUGGAGACCGACUUCCUUCUCAGAUCUUCGUCUCUUGGCUAACAAUCUGGUUGGGGCCCAGAGGAGAAUUUUCUGGGUGGGCUUUGCUGCGAUGUGCUGGCCUUUAUGGACGACUAGAAACAAAUUUACUAUUGAACAUGUUUUCCCUGCUAAGCCUGCUGACUGCUUAUUUAAAACUCGCGUGUUCUUGCAGCAGUGGAGAUUAUUGAUUAAGGAGGAGGAUAGGGAUGUGCUUGAUAUGAUGAUAUCCAAGAUCCGGGCUUCUGCUAUCUCCCUAUCUCCAGUUUGUGCCGACAGUUAG
rnacentral:rRNA from 1 species